rnacentral:lncRNA from 1 species
GGCCAUGUACACAACCUGCCAAGUCACAAAGCCGGAUCCAGGAAGUGGGCUGCAGACAAAGACCUUGGCCCCACCCAAUGGGAACCACCUCCCUGUGGUUAACCGGAUGUGCUGGAUCGCGAUCCCCAACAAUUUCAUUCAACAAAUGCUCAUCGUAUUGCUACCACUGCACUGAGAACGGGGGCACCAGGAAGUAGGGCACAUCACAGGGUGACAAGACGUGUCAUUUGCUUUGCCUCACCUACUUAACAAUUUUCACAAGGACCAACAAUAUGCCUGGCCCUGGCUAGUGCUGAUAAUUACAACCACGUGCAAAAUAAACGCAGCCCCUGCUGGGGGCGGGGGAGGGAGGUUAUGAACAAGCAAACAAAAAGGGAAAGUUGAAGGGCAAGGAAAGAGAAUAAAGAAAGUGUUCAUAUAAAGAAUUACAGAACCAAUCUACUUGGAUAAGAUAUCAAACUUCUGGGACCAUAAAAUGUUUCACCACCUUGGAUGUAACCUGCUAUUUUGGUAACGAGAUAUUUUCAAAUGGCAACCAGACGUAGACUUAACGCAAAUCUUAGUAUUUU